rnacentral:rRNA from 1 species
CAGCCGCCACGGUAAUACGGAGGGUGCAAGCGUUAAUCGGAAUUACUGGGCGUAAAGCGCACGCAGGCGGUCUGACAAGUCAGAUGUGAAAUCCCCGGGCUUAACCUGGGAACUGCAUUUGAAACUGUCAGGCUGGAGUCUUGUAGAGGGGGGUGGAAUUCCAGGUGUAGCGGUAAAAUGCGUAGAGAUCUGGAGGAAUACCGGUGGCGAAGGCGGCCCCCUGGACAAAGACUGACGCUCAGGUGCGAAAGCGUGGGGAGCAAACAGGAUUAGAUACCCCUGUAGUCCCUGUCUCUUAUAC